GAUGAACGCUAGCGGCAGGCCUAACACAUGCAAGUCGAGGGGCAGCACAGAAGCAGCAAUGUUUUGGUGGCGACCGGCGGACGGGUGCGUAACGCGUAUGCAACCUACCUUUAACAGGGGGAUAACGGAGAGAAAUUUCCACUAAUACCCCAUAACAUCGAUCAAGGCAUCUUGAUUGGUUGAUAACUCCGGUGGUUAAAGAUGGGCAUGCGUUGUAUUAGGUAGUUGGUGAGGUAAUGGCUCACCAAGCCUACGAUACAUAGGGGGACUGAGAGGUUAGCCCCCCACACUGGUACUGAGACACGGACCAGACUCCUACGGGAGGCAGCAGUGAGGAAUAUUGGUCAAUGGGGGCAACCCUGAACCAGCCAUGCCGCGUGCAGGAAGACGGCUCUAUGAGUUGUAAACUGCUUUUAAACAGGGAUAAAGCACAGUAUGUAUACUGUGUUGAAGGUACUGUAAGAAUAAGGAUCGGCUAACUCCGUGCCAGCCGCCGCAGUAA
rnacentral:rRNA from 1 species